GAUUAUGGCUCAGGAUGAACGCUAGCUACAGGCUUAACACAUGCAAGUCGAGGGGCAGCAUUGGGAUAGCUUGCUAUUCAGAUGGCGACCGGCGCACGGGUGAGUAACGCGUAUCCAACCUCCUGCCAGUAGGGAACAGCCCGGCGAAAGUCGGAUUAAUGCCCUAUGUUCUUCAAUGCGGACAUCUAAGUUGAAGGAAAGAUUCAUCGCUGGCAGAUGGGGAUGCGUCCGAUUAGCUUGCCGGCGGGGUAACGGCCCACCGGGGCGACGAUCGGUAGGGGUUCUGAGAGGAAGGUCCCCCCACACUGGUACUGAGACACGGACCAGACUCCUACGGGAGGCAGCAGUGAGGAAUAUUGGUCAAUGGGCGUAAGCCUGAACCAGCCAAGUAGCGUGCAGGACGACGGCCCUACGGGUUGUAAACUGCUUUUAUGCGGGGAUAAAGUGCGGCACGUGUGCCGCUUUGCAGGUACCGCAUGAAUAAGGACCGGCUAAUUCCGUGCCAGCCGCGGC
rnacentral:rRNA from 1 species